AAGAAGCACCGGCUAACUCCGUGCCAGCAGCCGCGGUAAUACGGAGGGUGCGAGCGUUAAUCGGAAUUACUGGGCGUAAAGGGUGCGUAGGUGGAUUGAUAAGUUAUUGUUUAAAUUCAUGGGCUUAACCUGUGGUAGUGCAGUAAUACUGUUAAUCUAGAGUGUAGUAGAGGAUAGGGGAAUUUCUGGUGUAGCGGUGAAAUGCGUAGAUAUCAGAAGGAACACCGGUGGCGAAGGCGCCUAUCUGGGCUAAGACUGACACUGAGGCACGAGAGCUUGGGUAGCGAACAGGAUUAGAUACCCUGGUAGUCCAAGCUGUAAACGAUGUCAACUAGCUGUCUGUAGAUUAAGGUUUAUAGGUAGCGAAGCAAAACGCGCUAAGUUGACCGCCUGGGGAGUACGGUCGCAAGAUU
rnacentral:rRNA from 1 species